rnacentral:rRNA from 1 species
GAUGAACGCUGGCGGCGUGCCUAAUACAUGCAAGUCGAACGAAACUUCUUUAUCACCGAGUGCUUGCACUCACCGAUAAAGAGUUGAGUGGCGAACGGGUGAGUAACACGUGGGCAACCUGCCCAAAAGAGGGGGAUAACACUUGGAAACAGGUGCUAAUACCGCAUAACCAUAGUUACCGCAUGGUAACUAUGUAAAAGGUGGCUAUACUACCGCCUUUGGAUGGGCCCGCGGCGCAUUAGCUAGUUGGUAGGGUAAAGGCUUACCAAGGCAAUGAUGCGUAGCCGAAUUGAGAGGUUGAUCGGCCACAGUGGGACUGAGACACGGCCCAAACUCCUACGGGAGGCAGCAGUAGGGAAUCUUCCACAAUGGGCGAAAGCCUGAUGGAGCAACGCCGCGUGGGUGAAGAAGGUCUUCGGAUCGUAAAACCCUGUUGUUAGAGAAGAAAGUGCGUGAGAGUAACUGUUCACGUUUCGACGGUAUCUAACCAGAAAGCCACGGCUAACUACGUG